GUGAAAGAGAAAGUUAAAAGCGAGCACGUCUUUCUGGAAGUCUGGCUGGGCCUGCACUCAAUCUCCCAGCCCCGCUGUCCGCACUGCAGUGCUUGCUCUCCUCGGGCAGCGGCCUGACUGCCUGGCUGCUCCUGCUCUGUCCAGGCAGCCCAGCUGGUCAGAGAUCCCUGCAGGGCCCCGGCCCUCAGAGAGGUCACCCAGUCCCCCUUCCCAGCGGCCAGGUUGCCUGGCCAGUGUGGAUGUGGGGAGGAGCAGAGGUCUCCUGGAUGCUGUGGCUGCACAGACAUCUCCAGACUGCCAAGUUCUGCCUGCCUCCCGUGCAGCCAGCACCCGGCCAGGUAACUCAGAACACAGCAAGGUCUCUUCGGGAGAAAGAUGUGGAGCAAAAUGUCCCGGAAGCUGGAAAACAGGAGGUGUGGGCUCGUGGGCACCUCAAAUGCUUAGUGCAAGGCCCUGGGUUUCAUCCAAAAAAUAGAACUCCGGAGACUCAAGAUCUGCUGUUCAUAUUUCAGCUUCUUGGGAUUCUCAGGAGUGUUCCCCUUGGUCCCUGGGCCUCACCCCUCAUCCAGUCAGUGCUGCUUCCUCCUCCUGCUGAGCUCUGACCCUGGGAGCCCUGCUCAGGCCCUGCACUAGUUUGCUGCUGUUGCUCCUCCUGCCCAGGCUUGAAUCAUUCUUCAGCUUGAGCUGCGUCCCACGCUGCCGGCUCCAGUUCGAUCCCUGCAGAGCAGCACUCAUCCACCCACACUUGCUGCUGGCACCCGGUUGCCUGUCAAACUCACCCCGCUGCAUGCUGGGUCCUCACACCCAUGGCACACAUCCCAGUUCCAGGGUCGCUGCAGUGACGGAUUGAGUCCCAGAGCUUGAAAUUGUCCUCAACUCUGCCCUUGCAUCCCUGUCUGAUGGUGAGGUCUCUGGGUUCCUGCAGCCUGGUCACUCUGGUCAGCGGGUCCAGCUCCGAUGACUGCAGUGUUUCCUGACAUGUCCCCUGCUGCCUUGUGUGUGGUUUGUGAAAUCAUGAGAAAUAGACACAUUGAUCUCUGCCCUGGUCCCUGGCCUACAGCUGCUGAAGCCCUUGCAGACAGGGGCACUGGGAGGUUGUUUGUUCUAGUAUCGGGUCUUUGACCCCAGUUCCAGAGCUCCUAGGAUGUCUGUCAUUUCCUGAGUGAUAGGAGGGUCCAGCACACAGGUCCUCGUCCUCUGGAAUUUCCUGGGAGGUGAGAGUAUCCAUUGUUCCUGUGAGGGACCUCUCUGGUGGGCUCCUGGGAAGCGGGAGGACCAAGCCAGCUCCACCUGCCCCUCAUCGUCUGGGAAGAGGAUUAAUAAUUGGUUAUGCAGAUGGGAUGCAGCCUCCAUAAAAAUCCCUGAAUUCCUGGGUUUGAGAGCUUCCGGACAGCUGAACACACAGAAGUCUCUGGAGGGGAACCCCGAGGAUGGACCCUGUCCAGGGCCCUCUCCACUGUGUCCCUUGUUGUAUCCUUUAUGACAAAUGACUGUACUAUGUAGAGUGUGCUCCUGCAUUCUGCUUUAACAGAUUAACAAUGUCGAUGAGGGACAGUAGGAACCCCUAGUCUGUAGCCUGUCAGUCAGAAGUUCCAGAGGCCUGCACUCGCAGGUGGCAUCGCAAGAGGGGACAAUAUGGCUGAGCCCUGUGACGCUGUCUCCAAGUGGACAGGGUCAGAAUCGAGUUGAGCACACACUUGGUGCUGAAGGCUGGAGGGCUGGCUGUGAAUGGGAGAAAACCUCACCCACGCUUGGAUCUGGGAAGUGUGUUGUGUGGUCUUCACAGUAAGACUAUUUUCUAGCUGGAGUUAGCUCAGCUGACCCCAUCUGCCUGGGUGACUUUCACAAACUUAUUGAGUGAAAGGUGCUAAAUACAUGACUAAAUGUAUGUGAAGUUCAAGAAUAAGCAGACUGGCAGAGGUAGGUGCUAUCAUUGCCUCUAGGGCGGGUGUGCCGCAGACCAGCUGCAGUCGAUGUAGGGUAGGAAGGGGAGAUGUCCUGGGCCGGAGAUGAGAAAAGAACCUUCACAAGCAAUGUUCAGGUUCCCUCUGAGAAGUCUUUGGGUCUGAUUUAUUUUUAUAUCUUUAAGCAACAGCUAAGAGGCAUUGGGCGGAACAUGUUCACAUUUUAUGUUGCCUUAGCAAUAUCUGAUGAGGUACAGGUUAUUUUUGCUAAACAGUAUAUUUUUUCUAAGCUGAUUCAUUUCAUUGAACAUCAUGAAUACAUUUCUUAAAAAUUGCAAUUGUUCCCUCAUUGUCCCAUACCUAAGCAGAACAAAAAGUAACUUAAUCAAAUUAAAUGUCAAACUUGUGGUCACCAGCUAGCCCUUGAGAAACUGCACAAUGGUUAAUAUAGUUUGCUAUUAGCUCUAUUUAUCUUAACUAAAUGUCAUUUGGGUUCAUAGUCCAUGAGCAGGAGAUAUUUACAGCACUUUGAGAGAUAUUGAGUAACUUGCCUCCUUAAUGCAUUUACCUGUCUUAACGUUCUUUUUAUUUCCCAUUUCCCACUAUUUCUUACAUCUAAAGCCUGACCUUUCAAUCUCUUCAUAAGACCCCUUUAGUAAAAAGAAUGUCAGCAAUAAGAGAGGGAGUUAUAGUAGUGGGCAACAGAGGGGGUUUUAGGAGAGGUUUCUUUAGGAGUGGAUGUGGCAAUAGAACUAAGAGAAACUGGAAUUUGGGGCUUAUGAGCCAGAUCAGAUUUCAAUAUAUCAUUGCCAAUUUGCCUCAUGGAGAGUUUGUUGUUAGUCAUAAACACAAUGGCUCCUGUGAUCAGAGGAAUAAUUAUAAACAUUAUGGCAAGAAAAAAAUAAAACAUGAGGGUACGAUGUGUUCCACCCUUUCUUUCCCCCAGCUGGAACUUUGUCAAGCAGCAAUGGAGGUCCGUUGGGCUUCGCCACAGUUCUGCAUGACCUAAAAUCCCUCCACACUUGGAUUUCAUGAUGUUUUAUGGAAUGUGCAGUGACCUUGUUUUCCACGUUUCGAACCAGAAAAUCUUUGGACUCAUGGGAACAUGGGUUUGGAGCCAGACAGACAGCCUGACAACAGGGCUGUGGAAGAACUCAAGGCCGGUGCUGGUCCAGGGAGGUAACCCCACUGCUUGGUCCUUGGCAGAAGGGCUGCAGGCAUCCCUAGGGUUAGGAAGAGCCAUGCUCCAGUCCCCAUCUGCCCAGUAUACGAUGCAGGCCUGAGAAAAAAGACGCUAAGAGACAGAACUAGAAGGGAAAGUGGGGGCCAGGAUGGCCAAUGCCGGUACAGCUGACAAAGAUGCUGGCCAGUCCCAGGCACUGAGUUUUACUGGCAAUCAGUUGAGUUAAAGGCGAGCUACAAAUAGUCUCUAUGGAAAUUAAUGUAAAAAAGGCUCAUAAAGGACAAGACAAACCAUUCUCGAAUUUAGGAACAUAAUAGACAAAAUAUAUGGUUGCAAUUAGAACAUUGUCCUUCUAGUCAGAAGGGUUUAGUUGUGGGAACGGAAUUUGGGUGUGAGUUACUCUGACCUCAGCACGUAGGCUUCAGCCAGACUCACUUCUAUAAACAAGCCAGCUGUGGGGUUAACUCUUCACAGCCUGCUUUGGGAAUAAUCAAUUUUAUGGUCCUCUGCACUCCAGGAGUGUUAGUUGUGCACAGGCUUAUCUUCUCACUGCUCUGAUAUGCACAUGAAGAUAGGUUUCAAGGCAAAAAGCUUUCCAUGAGGCUUAGCUGAAUAUUUUGAAGAGCAAAUCAAGACUCAGUCAGGUGUGUGAUGAUACAUGGAUAGGGCUACCAGCAGGGAAACUGACAGCCAGGAAGGCAGGAGCUCCCAUCAACGAAGCUCUCUAGAAUCCACAAGCUAAUGAAGUCAAGGCCAAUUGUCAGUUAGUCAGCAGGCAUAUCACCGCCAGCAUCCAGGGCAGUGGGUGCAACCACAGGUGACUGCUAAUGGGCAAAUUAGGGAACUUCACGGGCAGCAGUUCACAGAACUAGAUGGCAGGGAGACAGGGCUGCUGGAUCAAGGAGGUCCUGGGCACAGGGGUCCACAUGUGGGAUUUCUGGUGCAACUGAGAAACCCAAGGAGCCGGCUUCCUCUAGCUGCCAACUGCAGCAGCACGGUGCGUUCAUGAGCACACGGGCAUUCUUGUUUGCAGUGGCAUCACUGGUUGCUCUUGCCCUGUUUUCCUCACGCACCAGAGGAAGCACAGGGCCGAGGCUGGGCCAGAUGGUGCCACUUGUACAGGCUGGAGUUCCUCGUAGGACCACCUGCUUACCUUCAUGCUGCCCGACCCCACUGCAGCCCUGGGAACCCUCUGCUCCAUGAACUGACUUGACUCCACUCGGGUCCCCUUUCCUCUUUGAGUUUUGAAUCCCUCCACUGGAGGGUAGAGAAGAUGAUUUCACCCUGCUCUGGGCUCCGCUCAGCUCUGAUCUCCUGCUCUGGGCUGGGACACCUGUGUUGUCACCUGCCUCCUCUGCUCACCCUGCAGGAAAUACACUCGAGAAGGACACUUGGCAUGAGAAUGUGCCUGAGGGAGGCAGUCUUGCUCUUCCUGACACUGCUUUCCUGGGAGGCCAAAGUCCACUGGAUUGGCAAAGACCCCUAAACACUGUCCUGAGAAAUGCCAGGGCAACCCUGUGCCCUACACUUCUUCCAUGAAGGACCAGUCCCAGCUGCAGAAGGGCCAGGGCAAGGUGGUCAAGAAGACUGUCCAGGGCAUUCAUCAGAGGUCACCUUGACCACUCAAUGUGCAGCUCCUCAGGGCAGAGAGGGCACAGCUGUGGCAGCUAAAGCAGAGGGCACAUUAUACUCGGGCCCCUUCCGCCUCUGCUUCCCAUACCCUGCCCAUACCUGGCUUUGUUUCCUAGUCUCCCUCCAUGCGCCCACCCUCCUCUUGAGCAGAAUUCCAGCAUUUUCCAGUGCUCUUGUUCCUUCAGUGAGACUGGCAGCAUCACUCAGACAAAUCUGCCUGCUCAGUCUCUUUGGCCAGGGUUGAGUUGCUCCCGCUGGCCACUCCAUGUGCCUUAUACAUUUCCUCUCUUCACAGAACCAGGAGCUUCUGGAAAGCCUGAACUCAGGGAUGCUGUGAGACUUCUCAGGGCACAUUCUUUUCCUUAAAUUCCUUUAUUGGUACAUUUUAGGUAAACAAUACAGUUACAUUCAUCAUUGGGAUCUUGCACCUAUACAUGAUGCAUCUCGGUUCUUAUUUUUCCCCUCUCCCCUGCCCUCCCUUCACCCCCUCCACCCUUCUCUAUUUACAGAGACUUUGUUUCCAUUUUUUCCUUUUCUCAUAUUUUUUCCUUUCCCUUUUUUUCCUUUCCCCUACCCCUCCCACUUCCCCUACUCCUUUAGACCUUUUCUUCCUAUUGCACAUUAUCAAUUAUUCAUUUUAAUCCUUAUUUACACUUUCAGUUUCUCACACCAGAGAAACUAUUUGGUAUUUACACAUGUGUGUCCUAUUUAUUUCACUUAAUAGUAUCACCUCAAUGUGGAUCCAUUUAGCUAUAAAUGUCUCUAGUUUGUCAUUCUUUAUGGCUGAGUAGUACUCCAUUUUAUUUUUUAAAAACCCCACAUCUUCUUUAUCCAGUCUCUAGUUGAUGGGCACAUGGGCUAUUUCGAAGCUUUAGCUAUUACAAACUGCUGCUAUAAACAUGGGUAUGCAUAUAUUGCUGUGGUAUGAUUCUUUUAAUUCUUUUGGGAAAAUACCCAGCAGAGGAAUAGCUGGGUCAAAUGGGACCUCUAGCCCUAGUUCUUUGAGGUAUCUCCAUACUGAUUUCCAUAGUGGCUGCACCAGUCUGCACUCCCACCAGCAAUGGAGAAGGGUUCCUUUCUCUCCACACCCCGCCAGCAUUUGUUAUUGGUUGAUUUCUUGAUAG
rnacentral:lncRNA from 1 species